CCUGGUUGUGGUACGCCUUGCCCUCAAGACUAUCAUGGAGUAUGAGGUGCGGGAAGGUAGGCGACGGGGCAGCCGCGUCUACGCAUGUGCUGACGGCCACAUCUACGUUUCGAAAACCAAGAUUGGACUCAGCACAUAUCUCCAGUGCCAUCAGCGUGAGAACACUGCAGUGAGAUGCUUGGGGACGGCCGUUUUGAACGGUGGGCGCAUCCGCCUAAACCGGCCGCAUACUCAUGCUCCACUUCACCUGGAUAACGAGAUGUUGAGCGUGACGUCGGCAAUUAGGACUGCUGUCCAAAAUGAUGUAGAGGGGAGGACAAACCGCCAAAUUUUCAAUCACCUG